rfam:Alligator mississippiensis ScZkoYb_5, whole genome shotgun sequence.
CCAAAGGCUCUUUUCAGAGCCACCCACAGACUUCAAAAAAGGGCU